rnacentral:rRNA from 1 species
AGUGAACGCUGGCGGUAGGCCUAACACAUGCAAGUCGAACGGCAGCACAGUAAGAGCUUGCUCUUACGGGUGGCGAGUGGCGGACGGGUGAGGAAUACAUCGGAAUCUACUUUUUCGUGGGGGAUAACGUAGGGAAACUUACGCUAAUACCGCAUACGACCUACGGGUGAAAGCAGGGGAUCUUCGGACCUUGCGCGAUUGAAUGAGCCGAUGUCGGAUUAGCUAGUUGGCGGGGUAAAGGCCCACCAAGGCGACGAUCCGUAGCUGGUCUGAGAGGAUGAUCAGCCACACUGGAACUGGGACACGGUCCAGACUCCUACGGGAGGCAGCAGUGGGGACUAUUGGACAAUGGGCGCAAGCCUGAUCCAGCCAUACCGCGUGGGUGAAGAAGGCCUUCGGGCUGUAAAGCCCUUUUGUUGGGAAAGAAAAGCAGCAGGUUAAUACCCCGCUGUUCUGACGGUACCCAAAGAAUAAGCACCGGCUAACUUCGUG